rnacentral:rRNA from 1 species
UACAGAGGUCCCAAGCGUUUGUUCGGAUUCAUUGGGCGUAAAGGGCGCGUAGGCGGCCCUGUGUGUCGGGUGUGAAAGCCCACCUCUUAAAGGUGGAAUUGCAUUCGAAACUACAGGGCUGGAGUGUCGGAGAGGAUGGCGGAAUUCCUGGUGUAGAGGUGAAAUUCGUAGAUAUCAGGAGGAACACCGGUGGCCGAAGGCGGCCAUCUGGACGACAACUGACGCUGAGGCGGCGAAAGCGUGGGGAUCAAACAGGG